rnacentral:snRNA from 1 species
AGCUUUGCGCAGUGGCAGUAUCGUAGCCAAUGAGGUUUAUCCGAGGCGCGAUUAUUGCUAAUUGAAAAAAUAAACAUAAGUAAAAAUUAAAAAUGUACAGCAAAAUUCUUGUGAUUCCAGGUUUAAUUAACUUAAAAUAGA